AUGGGAGAAAGAAAACUUAGACCUCCAGAAAUAUCCAAGCACAUCAGCCAGUACGAGGCAUUGAGAGUUCUUAUGAUGGGUGAUAAACGAAAGAAAGAAAGGGAGGAAAAGGAGCCGAGAUGGGUCCGAGAUCCAGGUCAAGAUGCCGCCGUCUUACCCCUCCACAGAUCCAGCGCUUACAUUGACGCGACAGGAGGGACGCUUCACCCCUAUCAGCUGGAGGGGGUCAACUGGCUGCGGUACUCCUGGAGUAACGGAACGGACACUAUCCUAGCCGACGAGAUGGGGCUCGGCAAGACCAUCCAGACCAUCGUGUUCCUACAGUCCCUGUAUCAAGAGGGCCAUUCUAAGGGGCCGUUCCUGGUCAGUGCCCCUCUGUCCACUAUCAUCAAUUGGGAGAGGGAGUUUGAGUUCUGGGCCCCCGACCUGUAUGUGGUCACGUACAUCGGGGACAAGGACUGCCGAUCUGUCAUCAGAGAACAUGAAUUUUCGUUUGAAGAGAAUGCAAUUCGGUCGGGAGCGAAGGCGAGUAAGCUGAAGUCAGACUGCCAGUUUUUCCGUAUUUUAUCCAACUAUAAGAUUGGUUACAAAUUGCUGCUCACUGGGACACCAUUACAGAAUAACCUAGAGGAGUUGUUCCAUCUCCUCAACUUCCUCAGUCCAGAUAAGUUUAAUGAUCUGACGGUCUUUUUGGAUGAGUUUGCUGAUAUUGCCAAAGAAGAUCAGGUGAAGAAGUUACAUGACAUGUUGGGUCCUCAUCUACUGAGACGACUGAAAGCUGACGUACUGAAAGGAAUGCCGUCCAAGAGUGAGUUCAUCGUCCGAGUUGAGCUCAGUCCAAUGCAGAAGAAAUAUUAUAAAUACAUCUUAACACGGAACUUUGAUGCACUGAAUUCCAAGGGAGGUAAUCAAGUAUCACUGCUCAACAUCAUGAUGGAUUUGAAGAAGUGCUGCAAUCAUCCAUAUCUCUUUCCUACUGCUUCUAAUGAUGCCCCUAAGCUGCCAAAUGGAAUGUACGAAGGCACAGCCAUGACCAAGGCGUGUGGUAAACUGGAGCUUCUGUCCAACAUGAUGAAGAAGUUAAAGGAGAAGGGCCAUAGACUGCUCAUCUUUUCCCAGAUGACCAAGAUGUUGGACAUACUUGAGGAUUUCCUGGAGUACGAGGGCUACAAGUAUGAGAGGAUUGAUGGAGGGAUCACGGGCUCCAUGAGGCAGGAUGCCAUCGAUCGAUUCAAUGAUGAAAGUUUUGGUGAUGAAGCUUCGUCUGAGAAAAAAGGAAAGAAGAGGAAGAAGAAGAUAGACUAUGGCUCUGGAGUUCCUGACGAGGAAGAAGAGGAAUUUGUUUCCUCCAAGAAAAAGCGACAGAAGGACAGAGGGGAGGAAGCAAGGCUAGCACAGAUCAUAGAGGAAAAGAAAAGCCCCUCAGAUCAGAUAGCAGAUGAGCUUAGUAUUAACAAUGUGGAUAUACCCUUUGAUGAUGAUGACUACAUCUCCCUCAACAACUACAAACUGUUCAAACAAAACGUACAGCCUAUCAUACAGAAGGCCAAUCCUAAAGUCGCCAUGGCGAAAAUGGUAACACUGAUUGGGCCAAGUGGCGGGAAUUCGCACAGAUCGUUGCUCAGCGUACAAAGAAAAGACGAUGGAAGUCCGUCAGAGAGAGAAAAGGGGACACGUCAAGAGACGGGGCGACGUCUGAAAGAGGAAGAAGUGACGAACACGGAACAGAGACAAUGGAUGAUGAUGUGUUGGUUUUACGACACCAGUGACGAAGAAUUCGGCGACAGCUGGAGGAGGCUUCCAUUCUCGAGGAGAAGAAAAAGGCUGCAGCCGAAGCAGCCCCAAAAAAGAAAAUCCAAGACGAAGAAGGGGAGAGGGCGAGGGGGGAAGAAGAAGACAAAACUAACAACAAGUAUCCCACCGACCCUGAUGCUGACGGAUACGAGACGGAGCACCAAGAUUACUGUGAGGUGUGCCAGCAAGUGUGGAGAGAUUAUUCUGUGUGGACACUGUCCUAGGGCUUAUCACCUGGUGUGCUUUGAUCCGGAGCUAGAGGAACCGCCGGAGGGCAAAUGGAGCGUCCACACUGUGUAA
rnacentral:sRNA from 1 species